rnacentral:lncRNA from 1 species
UUUUUUUAUUUUAUUUACGUGAGGGGAUCGGGUGUCACAGUGUGCUCCUUUUCCCAAAUUUCUCUUUUCUUUUCUUGUCUUGCAAGACUCAUUUUUGGAUUAUAACUAAGCUAAAUUUCAUUCAGUUAGACCUGCAAUUGUAAAGGCCUUUUUCAACUACGCUUGCUUUGAACAUCUUUUCCACCUGUACACAGUUGUAGCGAAUCGAAUAAUUUUGUAAAACUAAUUCUCCGAUCAAUUAUAUAUAAUUAUCUUUUAUUUCCCAUUUUCCUUGUGAUUUAAAUUUUUUACAGUCCCUAUAAUAAGAUUAUAUCAUUCUUGGAAGUUCAUUAUAUCGUGUUCCAUUGUCAAAUUCCGAAAACCUCAAAAUUUAUCACAAAUAUUUCAGCCAUGAUCUUAAAAUUGAAAAUCAGUGAUCAGAUUACACGCGCCCCCUUGGUGCUACUGAAGAUAAUGUUACACGCACUUCCGAACGCACAUUAUAUAACAUGCGCAUUACAAUGGCCGGACAAAUAGCCCUGGCACUAUUCGUCCGGCUAGCCAGACA